rnacentral:lncRNA from 1 species
UUUAGAUCAGAAUCACAGGGACUAGGUGGGAAUCCAGAUCUUACUUUUUUAAAACUUCAAAUUCCCCACCUCAGACCUUCUAAAUUAGUUCAAAACACUAUAUAUAUUCCACUGCUUCUAACUGAUAUAUGCCAGAAAAGAUGAAUUUAAUUUUUGAUUAUUCUACAAAUAUUUAUUGAGCACAUGGUAAGUCUUUCAGGCCAUUAAACACUUAAUCGGGUAUAUUAAUCAUGGAGCUUGCAGUCUAGAGGGAAAACUAAUAUAAAUGAAAACUAUAGUAUAAGGUAGAAAAUAUUAAAAGCCAUUAAGAGGGUGCAAAUAAAAUAUUGUUGGAAUUUAGAGGUUUGGAAGAGCCUCAGUAGAUGUAAUCAAGAAAGUGUUUGUGAAAGAUUUUUAAAAGGAAAGGAUGGUAGGCUGGGGAUAUAGCUCAGUGGUAGAGUGCUCUCCUAGCACGCUCAAGACUGGGUUCAAUCCCACCACCACACAUGCACACACACAUACACACCUGUUUAGAACAAGGUAGCCCCGAAAUCAGUGGAAAUUGGAAUAAUUUGGUUGUGGCACAUUGGAUAUUUUAGAUGCAUAUUAAUCAAGUAUUAAUUAUUAUUAAUAAGUAUCCCCUCAGGAUGGGGAUAUAGCUCAGUGGCAGAGUUGUUGCCUAGCAUGUUUGAGGCCCUGAGUUUAAUCCUCAGCACCAAAAAAAUCCAAAAAACAAAAAACUCCCCUUAGUGACUAAACAUUCUCUAUCUCAGUGGCUACACACAAAACAAAGCUAAUUUUUUUUUUCUUUGUGUCACAGUCUAUUUAGCUGUUAGCAGGUGUCCUUCCAUGCAGAGACCCAAGCUUCUUCCCAACUACUGGCUCCACCA